GGUCAGCUGACACAUCCCUGCCAAUCUCCGGCAGACCCUCCCUCCCAGACUCUCCCACCUCCUGGACAGCAUCCAUGUUGAAGCUGCCUUCAACAUGGAUGCUGUCCAGGAAGUAGGAGGGUCUGGGAGGGAGGGUCUGCCGGAGAUUGGCAGGGAUGUGUCAGCUG